rnacentral:rRNA from 1 species
CCUACGGGUGGCAGCAGUGGGGAAUAUUGCACAAUGGGCGCAAGCCUGAUGCAGCCAUGCCGCGUGUAUGAAGAAGGCCUUCGGGUUGUAAAGUACUUUCAGUCGUGAGGAAGGUGUUAAGGUUAAUAACCUUAGCAAUUGACGUUAGCGACAGAAGAAGCACCGGCUAACUCCGUGCCAGCAGCCGCGGUAAUACGGAGGGUGCGAGCGUUAAUCGGAAUUACUGGGCGUAAAGGGCACGCAGGCGGUUAAUUAAGUGUGAGGUGUAAUCCUGGGGUGUAGCAGAGGUAGGACAGACAGAAGUGGCGAGGGAGAGUCGUGAAGAGGGGGGAAGAUUGCCGGGUGCAGCGGGGAAACGGGUAGAGAUGUGGGGGGCUGCGGGUGGAGAAGGCGGGCACUUGACCAGAGACUGAGGCGGAGUGGCGAAAGCGUGGGGAGCAAACAGGAUUAGAUACCGGAGGAUCC